CUGCAGUGCUAGGAAGUUACCCUGAAAGAGGAUCCUCUGUUUACUCUACAAGCAACUCCAUGGGCAUCCAAGAAUAGGAGAAUAUAGGCAAACAGAAACUGCUUGUAACAGCAUAAGUGAAAAUGAUCCCGAGAAAAAGGAAGCCUUUCUGAUACAUGUUUUCGCUUCGAUCUCGAGGAACUUAUAAUGUGUAGGCAGCAUUCAACAGAAUUCAGGUGCCACUAAUUAUAUUAAAUCCAGAAAUGCACUUGUAACUGUAAAGGAAAGAAAAAACACCAAGGAUAAAAAUCCAAAACUGUGAAUAUAAUUAAAGAAAGUGAUGGAUAGGUAAGCAAAUUGACCAGACAUGAUGAGGAAGUAGUACCAUGAGAACUUCUGAGGAAGAGGUUAUUUCAUUUAACAGAACUAGCAUUCCAAUCAACAAAGUGCAAAAUCUCAAACAAUUCACUGAAGGUCAUUGUCGCAGGCCAAACCCCUUCAAGGAAUUGAAGAGAUAACCAAUCAUAUUCC
rnacentral:lncRNA from 1 species